rnacentral:rRNA from 1 species
UACGUAGGGGGCAAGCGUUGUCCGGAAUCAUUGGGCGUAAAGAGCGUGUAGGCGGCCCGAUAAGUCCGCUGUGAAAGUCCAGGGCUCAACCCUGGAAUGCCGGUGGAUACUGUCGGGCUCGAGUUCGGAAGAGGUGAGUGGAAUUCCUGGUGUAGCGGUGAAAUGCGUAGAUAUCUGGAGGAACACCGGUGGCGAAGGCGGCAUCCUGGACCGACAUUGACGCUGAGGCGCGAAAGCCAGGGGAGCAAACGGG